GGUUAAGCGACUAAGCGUACACGGUGGAUGCCCUGGCAGUCAGAGGCGAUGAAGGACGUGCUAAUCUGCGAUAAGCGUCGGUAAGGUGAUAUGAACCGUUAUAACCGGCGAUUUCCGAAUGGGGAAACCCAGUGUGUUUCGACACACUAUCAUUAACUGAAUCCAUAGGUUAAUGAGGCGAACCGGGGGAACUGAAACAUCUAAGUACCCCGAGGAAAAGAAAUCAACCGAGAUUCCCCCAGUAGCGGCGAGCGAACGGGGAGCAGCCCAGAGCCUGAAUCAGUAUGUGUGUUAGUGGAAGCGUCUGGAAAGGCGCGCGAUACAGGGUGACAGCCCCGUACACAAAAAUGCACAUGCUGUGAGCUCGAUGAGUAGGGCGGGACACGUGGUAUCCUGUCUGAAUAUGGGGGGACCAUCCUCCAAGGCUAAAUACUCCUGACUGACCGAUAGUGAACCAGUACCGUGAGGGAAAGGCGAAAAGAACCCCGGCGAGGGGAGUGAAAAAGAACCUGAAACCGUGUACGUACAAGCAGUGGGAGCACGCUUAGGCGUGUGACUGCGUACCUUUUGUAUAAUGGGUCAGCGACUUAUAUUCUGUAGCAAGGUUAACCGAAUAGGGGAGCCGAAGGGAAACCGAGUCUUAACUGGGCGUUAAGUUGCAGGGUAUAGACCCGAAACCCGGUGAUCUAGCCAUGGGCAGGUUGAAGGUUGGGUAACACUAACUGGAGGACCGAACCGACUAAUGUUGAAAAAUUAGCGGAUGACUUGUGGCUGGGGGUGAAAGGCCAAUCAAACCGGGAGAUAGCUGGUUCUCCCCGAAAGCUAUUUAGGUAGCGCCUCGUGAAUUCAUCUCCGGGGGUAGAGCACUGUUUCGGCAAGGGGGUCAUCCCGACUUACCAACCCGAUGCAAACUGCGAAUACCGGAGAAUGUUAUCACGGGAGACACACGGCGGGUGCUAACGUCCGUCGUGAAGAGGGAAACAACCCAGACCGCCAGCUAAGGUCCCAAAGUCAUGGUUAAGUGGGAAACGAUGUGGGAAGGCCCAGACAGCCAGGAUGUUGGCUUAGAAGCAGCCAUCAUUUAAAGAAAGCGUAAUAGCUCACUGGUCGAGUCGGCCUGCGCGGAAGAUGUAACGGGGCUAAACCAUG
rnacentral:rRNA from 1 species